GAAGAAGGGAUAUCAGAUUAUCUAUAAUCAUUACCUGCAGGGAGAUUUCUCUCUGAACAUCACUGAUGCUGAUUUCAGUAAGAGAGGAUAUUACACAUGUGACUGUGGUAAUAAGGAUAUCUGUGAUGUGCGUCUUCAGAUCGAGAGUAAGUGUUCAGCUGUUAUUUCAGUAAUAAAAUCUGGGUAAAAAUGAUUUGUAGGAAAGUUAAGGUUAAAAUGUGCUUGUGUUUCUCCUCAGCUUUGAACUCCACAGUUCUUAUAAAACCUGGAGAUCCUCUGUUUCUGGAAAUGGACGUGACGGACCCAGUUAAGGUGUAUUAUAAUAAUAGUGAUGGUGUUGGUCUGUCACGUACUCCGGUCUGUACAGUGAAUGAGCUGCGGUGUAAUAAUAAUUACUCUCAGAGAGUGGUCUCUGCUGUACAGCUGAAGGAAAUUAAGACGUCUGACAGCGGAGUUUACACCAUCCGCGACUCCAGCAACGAACACGCGAUCCAUGUCUACACAGUGUCCGUCCAAGGACAAUGCUCGUCCUGCUGCCGCUGCUGCCACUUAGUGGGUGAAACAGAUAUGAACUCACACAGGGGGUCAUUAGAAAAGUGCCUUCAGUGGCUAAAAACCUGCUUCAGGGUAAGUAGGACACCAUCAGCAACCACCAGCAUUACAUUACCACUCUUAAACACUACUUACUUAAAUUACUUACAGUUCAUACUAAAGUAUAACAA
rnacentral:lncRNA from 1 species